UCCUGCCACUUGCUUGUUAUAAGUAUGUUUCUUAAGAUUCUAGCAGUCCUGACACCACAGUGAUAGACAGUGGUCGUCAGUAGGAACUUUCCGGUAACCAGCUAUGUGAUACUGUGGAUGUCACCAAUUAGUGGAGAUCAACUGUUCUUGAGAUGUCUAGGUUUAUGUGAAGCUCUCCUGAUUGAUAGGCUCAGCUAUCGUAUUUAAUGAGGCAUAUGGAAGUAUCUAGAUUAGUGGUGAUGUGGGCCUAAACCACAGCACAGAUCACGUGAUCCUAAUAUGUAGAUGCUUGUCAAGAAAACCCAGUGAACCUCACAGUAUUCACUGAUGGAAGCUUGCUCUUGACCUGGU